UACGUAGGGUGCGAGCGUUGCCCGGAUUUAUUGGGCGUAAAGGGCGCGUAGGCGGCUCGGCACGUCCGUUGUGAAAUCGCCCGGCUCAACUGGGCGGGGUCAGCGGAUACGGCCGAGCUUGAGCAAGCUAGGGGGCAAUGGAAUUCCCGGUGUAGUGGUGGAAUGCGUAGAUAUCGGGAGGAACACCAGUGGCGAAGGCGGUUGCCUGGAGCUUUGCUGACGCUGAUGUGCGAAAGCGUGGGGAGCGAUCCGG
rnacentral:rRNA from 1 species